AUUGGAUCGAUUUUGCUUUAUGCAAAUCUCCUAUAGUGAUUUAAAGAUAAACCAUGAAAAAUCUGAGAUCCAAU